ACGUACACUCCUACGGGAGGCAGCAGUGGGGAAUAUUGGACAAUGGGCGCAAGCCUGAUCCAGCCAUGCCGCGUGAGUGAUGAAGGCCCUAGGGUUGUAAAGCUCUUUCACCGGUGAAGAUAAUGACGGUAACCGGAGAAGAAGCCCCGGCUAACUUCGUGCCAGCAGCCGCGGUAAUACGAAGGGGGCUAGCGUUGUUCGGAUUUACUGGGCGUAAAGCGCACGUAGGCGGACUAUUAAGUCAGGGGUGAAAUCCCGGGGCUCAACCCCGGAACUGCCUUUGAUACUGGUUGUCUUGAGUUCGAGAGAGGUGAGUGGAAUUCCGAGUGUAGAGGUGAAAUUCGUAGAUAUUCGGAGGAACACCAGUGGCGAAGGCGGCUCACUGGCUCGAUACUGACGCUGAGGUGCGAAAGCGUGGGGAGCAAACAGGAUUAGAUACCCCAGUAGUCCC
rnacentral:rRNA from 1 species